rnacentral:rRNA from 1 species
UACGAAGGGGGCUAGCGUUGCUCGGAAUCACUGGGCGUAAAGGGUGCGUAGGCGGGUCUUUUAAGUCAGGGGUGAAAUCCCGGGGCUCAACCUCGGAACUGCCUUUGAUACUGGAAGUCUUGAGUAUGGAAGAGGUAAGUGGAAUUGCGAGUGUAGAGGUGAAAUUCGUAGAUAUUCGCAGGAACACCAGUGGCGAAGGCGGCUUACUGGUCCAUUACUGACGCUGAGGUGCGAAAGCGUGGGGAGCAAACAGG